GUUUUAGUGUAAGUGUGUUCCAUGCUAUGUUUGGAAUAUACUUAUACUAAAA
rfam:Ovis aries breed Texel chromosome 13, whole genome shotgun sequence.